AUGUCCAAGGAGCUUGAUAGCAACUUAUUCAAAUGUAUCUGUGAUCAACAUGCAAACCAUGUCGUUCAGAAAUGUAUGGAGUGUGUGCAGCCACAAUAUAUCCAAUUCAUCUAUAGACGGUUAUGUGGCAAGGCCAAGAUGUUAUCCACCCAUCCUUACGGAUGCCAUGUGGUUCAGGUUAAAAUGCUAGAGUUCUGCAAGGAUCCUCAAAUUAUGGACAUGUUUAUCACAGAGAUUCUCGAUUGUGUAAAGGAGUUGUCUAUAGACCCAUAUGGAAACUACGUUGUGCAGUACAUUGUGGAGCAUGGAAGACCUCGUCAUCGACAAAUUAUUAUGUUGAGAUUUGCUGGAAGUAUAGUACAGAUGAGCCACCAGAAGCACUCUUCCAAAGGCAUGAUAAUCCACCAGUAUGCAAACUGCGUGGUGCGGCAGCUGAUUGACGUGGUGAACGAUUGGCAGUUCAACGUGAUGUUGGAUGUGCUUAGGCGCAACAGGGAGACUUUCGUCAUGUAUGCCCAAGGGAGGCAGGUCAUCGCGCAGGUCAAGCGGCUCCUCAAUGGCAUGGCACCGUCCCCCGACUCCUUUGGGUCCCAGUUCCUCUAG
rnacentral:rRNA from 1 species